rnacentral:rRNA from 1 species
AACGCAGCGAAGGGCGAUAAGUAAUGUGAAUUGCAGAAUUAUGUGAACCAUCGAAUCUUUGAACGCACAUUGCGCCCUUUGGUAUUCCGAAGGGGCAAUGCCUGUCCGAGCGUCAUUGUCCACCAUCAAGCCCGGCUUGUGAGUUGGGCCCCGCGCUGUUGAAGCGCGGGCCCGAAAGUCAGUGACGGUGCCGCGGCUGGCCCCCAGAUGUAGCGAGCUUUACAAGCAGCAUCCGGGCGGUUAACGGGCCUGCCUUAACCAUGUUUUUACACCAGGUUGACCUCGGAUCAGGUAGGGAUACCCGCUGAACUUAA